GUGGGGAAUAUUGGACAAUGGGCGCAAGCCUGAUCCAGCAAUGCCGCGUGGGUGAAGAAGGUCUUCGGAUCGUAAAGCCCUUUCGACAGGGACGAUGAUGACGGUAACAUCAGAAGAAGCUCCGGCUAACUUCGUGCCAGCAGCCGCGGUAAUACGAAGGGAGCGAGCGUUGUUCGGAAUCACUGGGCGUAAAGAGUGCGUAGGCGGUUAUACAAGUCAGGAGUGAAAUCCCAGGGCUCAACCCUGGAAUUGCUUUUGAAACUGUAUAGCUAGAGUCCCGGAGGGGUUAAUGGAAUUCCGAGUGUAGAGGUGAAAUUCGCAGAUAUUCGGAGGAACACCAGUGGCGAAGGCGAUUAACUGGACGGGCACUGACGCUGAGGCACGAAAGCGUGGGGAUCAAACAGGAUUAGAUACCCGAGUAGUCC
rnacentral:rRNA from 1 species